rnacentral:rRNA from 1 species
GCGGCAGCUACACAUGCAGUCGAGGGGUACAGAGGAGCUUGCUUCCGCUGACGACCGGCGAACGGGUGCGUAACGCGUAUAGAAUCUGCCUUGUACAGGAGGAUAGCCUUUAGAAAUGAAGAUUAAUACUCCAUAAUACUGAUAUGUGGCAUCACACUUUAGUUAAACAUUUAUGGGUACAAGAUGACUAUGCGUCCUAUUAGCUAGAUGGUAAGGUAACGGCUUACCAUGGCAACGAUAGGUAGGGGGUCUGAGAGGAUUAUCCCCCACACUGGUACUGAGACACGGACCAGACUCCUACGGGAGGCAGCAGUGAGGAAUAUUGGUCAAUGGAGGCAACUCUGAACCAGCCAUGCCGCGUGCAGGAAGACUGCCCUAUGGGUUGUAAACUGCUUUUAUACAGGAAGAAACAGAUCUACGUGUAGGUCCUUGACGGUACUGUAAGAAUAAGCACCGGCUAACUCCGUGCCAGCAGCCGCGGUAAUACGGAGGGUGCAAGCGUUAUCCGGAAUCAUUGGGUUUAAAGGG